rnacentral:rRNA from 1 species
GUAGCUUGCUAUGGUAUACUUAGUGGCAGACGGGUGAGUAAUGUAUAGGAAUNUACCUAGUAGUACGGAACAAUUAGACUGGAAACGGCAACUAAUACCGUAUACGCCCUACGGGGGAAAGGAUUUAUUGCUAUUAGAUGAGCCUAUAUUAGAUUAGCUAGUUGGUGGGGUAAUGGCCUACCAAGGUAGUGAUCUAUAGCUGAUCUGAGAGGAUGAUCAGCCACACUGGAACUGAGAUACGGUCCAG